rnacentral:lncRNA from 1 species
UUAUUACAAAUGAAUCAGUCUCUAGAUUUCAGUUAUUACAUAAUGAGACAGUCCAACUUUAAUCAUAACAUGAUGAAUAUUUUGCCAUUACAGCUAUACCCAAACCAAAUAGGGGGAAGAUAGGGAAUGGUUUAAAACAGUACAAUAAACUUAGAUCUUCCAUUUACGAGUACUUUAUACUUGAGCUUCAAAUGCAUCAAUGAACAUUGGAAGUUACCUAUAAUUCAGCAGCAGAAACAAGCCUAUGAGUAAAAAGAAGAUACCAACUAAGCAAUCAACAGCUAAAUACAUAGUGCAUCCAGGACUUUAACAGAGUUUUUAGAGAAUUAAGUCUUCUGAAAAUCAUUCAAACAACACUAAUGGUAUUUUCAGAUAUAGGAAUAAGUAUUUCAUCUCUAGUACUCAAAGAGAAGGUUUCCGGAUCCCUAUUAAAAAUACCCAGGGGGUUUCUUUUAUAGUAGAGUCUUAGGGCAUCGGAUUUUCCUCUUGUUUUCAAUUUAGUCCUUACUCAAAUUUUCACUUUGCCUAAAUGGUCCUUCAAUUCCUAACUUGUGCCUCAAGUUUGAGGCAUGAAUUGUGUUUUAGUCCUUGCUAGAAGGUUUUAAGGGAUUACUAUUAGAUUUUUCAAAGGUUCAAGUUCCUCUUACACCCUCACUUCCUUUCCUAAAUUACUCCCCCCCCCCCCCCUAGAAGGUUUUAAGGGAUUACUAUCAGGUUUUUUAAAGGUUCUAAUUCCUCUUAUACCCUCACUUCUUUCCUAAUUUCCCCCUCCCCCCUGAAGUUUUGACCUUAGUCAGUUCCUUGACCCCAGUUUAGUUAAAAUUGACCCUGGUCAAUCAACUUGGGUCACCUUUUAAUCUUAGACUAAUAGGCUCAUGAAAGUUCAGAAUUAGCCAAAAUUAUCAAGGUUCAACACAGAUGCCUUAAUAUAGACUUCCACAUCCAAACAUUAUACAGAACUAUCAAAACAAAGGGCUAGAAGAAUGAAU